UACGUAGGUGACAAGCGUUAUCCGGAAUUACUGGGCGUAAAGAGUGCGUAGGUGGUGCCCUAAGUCUGUUGUGAAAUCUCCCGGCUUAACUGGGAGGGUGCGGUGGAAACUGGGGUGCUUGAGUGUGGGAGAGGUAAGCGGAAUUCCUGGUGUAGCGGUGAAAUGCGUAGAUAUCAGGAGAAACACCGGUGGUGUAGACGGCUUACUGGACCACGACUGACACUGAGGCACGAAAGCGUGGGUAGCAAACAGG
rnacentral:rRNA from 1 species